AUCUUUGGAGGUCUGUCUUCCCUUUGGGCUCUGUGCAACUGCAGCUACAGUGGAAAAAAGCAAACUACUCUUGAUCCCAGGAGGCCCUGCCUAAGCCUCAGCAGAACUUGUAAGCCUAAACUGAAGAGCCUCACCCGGAGGAGCAGGCAUCCCUUAACCUUAAGCAAGCCACUUCCACGCCCUGGAUCAG
rnacentral:lncRNA from 1 species